GAUAAACGCUGACAGAAUGCUUAACACAUGCAAGUCGAUGAUGGGAGCUAGCUUGCUAGAAGAAGUCAUGGCGGACGGGUGAGUAACGUGUAAAGAACUUACCAUAUAGACUGGGAUAACAGAGGGAAACUUCUGAUAAUACUGGAUAAGUUAGUAGUAGCAUUACUAAGUAAUGAAAGGUAGCAAUACGCUAUAUGAGAGCUUUGCAUCCUAUUAGCUAGUUGGUGGGGUAAAAGCCUACCAAGGCGAUGAUAGGUAGCCGGCCUGAGAGGGUGGACAGCCACAAGGGGACUGAGAUACGGCCCUUACUCCUACGGGAGGAAGCAGUGGGGAAUAUUGGACAAUGGAGGCAACUCUGAUCCAGCAAUUCUGUGUGUGUGAAGAAGGUUUUAGGACUGUAAAACACUUUUAGUAGGGAAGAAAGAAAUGACGGUACCUACAGAAGAAGCGACGGCUAAAUACGUG
rnacentral:rRNA from 1 species